AAUUGAGCUCAGAAGUCUUCUGAGAAAACGGAACUCGGCCCAUACUGGCUUCGAUUCGUUAGCCAGCGGCACCAGCAACGUUUGUGCCUGCGAGGCGAGAAACCGAGGAGAGCGGCAACUCGGAGGAGAGUGAAGAUGCCUCGGCCUGAGUUCCAGGCGCCGCCGGAUGUGUUCUACGACGAGUCGGAGGCCCGCAAUCUAGGAUUUCCGAGAGGGCGCUGGAGCUGCUCGCUCUCCCCAACGAUGGCGUCCCCAAGCUGCUCCUCGACAUACGUCAGCUUACUCUCUUCUGCAAGCCCGGCUUCAUAAAUCAUGGCAUAUCGCGUUGGCUAGAACACCAGAAAGUAUUUUACUUUUGACGGGGGCAAAAAUACAUUCUGUGGGAACUCUUCCUCUAAUUGCAAUGGGUUGGCAUCUAUGUUUGAAGAUAUGUUUACCUUA